GCUGGGCAUGGUGAUGCCUGUCUGUAACCCCAGUGUCUGGGGAGGCUGAGGCAGGAGGAUUACAAGUUCAAGGCCAGCUUUUGCAAGACCCUAUCUCAA
rnacentral:sRNA from 1 species